UAUUUGCAUUAAGACCCUCAGCAGUGCCAUAUUUGCAUUAAGACCCUCAGCAGUGCCAUUUAUUCACAAUCAUUCACUGAGAUGGAGAGGCCAAGACUUGCUCUCAUCGUGCUCAUGUAGUAAGAAAAAAAAUAUAAUUCUUUAGCUGUAGUUUUUUGAGUAAAAACGUCACUACUGUGAAUAUUUUGAUAUAAUAGUAUAAUUUGAAGUGCUACAUAAAGAUAUUUUGUACUUUUACAGUUUUCCUGUUUUAUCAGAAAAUAAUCUAUGGAGAAGAACUGGAAAUGAACGUCAAACCAGGAGACAACAUCACUCUCUUUUGUGAUCGCUCUGUAACUUUUGGUUCCAGCAUUGUAUGGAUAAGAAACUGCUCUCAUGAAAAUCAACCCUCUCUUAUAAUAGAUUUUAGGAAACUGGAUGAGGAGAUAUUUCAGCGAUUCAGCUUUAUCCACAAUCUCUAUAAUAAUUCUUACGAUCUACAUAUUACUAACAUCAGUGUCUCUGAUCUGGGACUGUACUACUGUGCAAAACUACAGAUGAAGGUAAAUGAAGAUGGAAAAGGCAUCCUCUCCCAAUCUGAGGUGUACUAUUAUGGAAACCAAACAACUCGUCUUUCUCUGAAAGUGAAUUCCUGUUCUGGACCCCUGAACACCACCUCCACACCACCUCCUGUAUCAGACUGUCUGCUCUGCUGGACGCUGCUGUUCAGUGUGUGUCCAGUGUGUUGUCUCUUCUCCUCCAUCUGUGUAUUCUGCCUCUGUUGUAGGAAAACUACAGAUUCUGCAACUGAUCAAAAACUCAAGCAGAAAGGUAGAAAUAUUAUUGAGGAAAAUUAUGAUACCGAGGUGUGUUAUGCAUCUGUGGACUUGAUGACCAGGAGACAAAACCGACACAAGAAAACACAAGCGCCAAGUUCAGAUUUCACUACUUACGCUCCUAUCCGAACAGAAGCUGAAUAGAUUAGAAAGCUGGAGGAGGUAUUAUCAUUGAAAUAUUAUUUUAAUGGCAUGUUUGUUGGUUAAAAUGUGUGUCUAUGAUUAAAUCAUAGAUGAAAAAUAUGAAACAAGAAUUCUUCUUCUUCUUUAUAAGCAGUUCUUCUUCUUUAUAAGUAUUGACAGAUAAAAUAUUUUCUUUCAGUAAAAGUGUUUUAGUAUGUUCCCUACAGUCUUUGUGGACACACAGUGAUGAGUAACAGGAUGUGGAAGUGGGUUUCCUGUUUUAUGUAGCGUUUAGUUUAAAGGGGUCACAAACUGCCUUUGUUUUUUAAAUUUUGUACUGUUCUCUGAGGUCCAAUUAUUAUGUUUUCAAGAUUUUUAUAUUAAAAACAUUAUUUAGAAGUAACACGCUAUUUUCUGUCCUGUUUUUAUCCCCCUCAUCAGAAUGCUCUGUUUGAAUAGUCAUGGCGGAUUGUAGAGUCGGAAGUAAACGCCCACUGAUACGAUUGACUAAUAGUUGUGUAUGUUAGAGAACGUACAUUCCUUAUAGAUGGACACUGGUGUGAUUUAGAUCAAAACACAUAAAAAAUGCACUUGGCACUGCACAGCAUCUUGUUGUAUUUAGAGCCAUCUUUAUCAUUCAGUUUCUGCGUGGACCUGUGUUGAUCUUCAGGCGUUGAUCUUCUUCUGUGGAGGCGGGGUUUAGCCACACUAUUACAUCAUAGAGUAGAACAUUCCAAAAGCUGUCGUUUUGGCAGACUACCUUUAAUAUAAGCUGUCUUUAGACUAACCAGAAAGUUUUGAGUUCUGAAACUUACAGGAUUUUUAUAGUAUAAUGACCUCUUAUAUGUCAAAAGAUCAAGGGAAUUUGGUUUCUCAGUUCAUAACCCCUUUAAGCUGUGUAUAGUUCUCUUCAACUGGAUGACCGCAACAUUUAUCUGACUCAUUUUUUUCAAUAAGCCUCAUCAAAUUUUCCUAAAUCACACCUUUUUCCAUCCCAUUAUAGUAAUGUAUUAGAAAUUGUAAAGGAAACUAGAAAACCUAUGCCCAUUUUACAUUUAAAAUGAAAUGAGGUAGAAAUUAUUAGACAUUAUUUUAAGUUUUUCUUUUGAACCCUUGAACCCUCUGAAUUGCUCUUCAAAGGAGCUUUACACUCCUACAGUAUCUUUGUUUCUUACAAAGAAGGUCAUGUCUUAUUCUCAGUAAUAAAGAUAACAAUCUUAACCACAAAUGUUUCCAUCCAGUUUGCUGAUUAUGUGCAUAUGAGAUAGAAAUAGAAAGGACUUGUUGGUGUUUGUUUAUGCGGUGAGUUUGUGGUGAAUUCGGUUUUGUAUGUUUGCAAUGCCUGCAUACAGUAGUUUUGCAGUUGCACAUUUUUCCCACACCUUCUGUUGGAUGAGUAAGUAUAAUUACAGCAUCUCUGAGAAUAACGCACAGACUGUAACUUGAAGAAAGUAAUCUGAUUACGUAACUCGCGUUACUUGUAAUGUUUUACCCCCAACACUGGUUGUAAGUGUUGUUUUAUUUAAUGAUUGUUACCAUUUAUGUGUUUUUUAUUGAUGUCACAUCUUUAAAAGAUGCAUAUUAGCAGAAGUUGCUUCACUACUGUGAAAGAUCCAUCCACAAACAGUUAUGAAUAUGAAAUAAAAUAUUGAUUAAUCUUCC
rnacentral:lncRNA from 1 species